rnacentral:lncRNA from 1 species
CAGAUGUUUAAUUAUUGUCAUUAGGAAGCUUCUGGAAAUACCUGGUGAGCUUUCUAAAAGCAGCACAAUAAGCAAAUCCCUUUGGAUUUUGACGGAUUGGUUCUUUCGUACUGAAUGAUGAUUCAGGAGAUCACAGGCACAGCGCUCCCCCUGCGCGUCUCUAUGGGAGGAGGUAAUAAUUAGGCUGCACUCAAUGGGAAAGGCCCACCACUUUCCUUCGCAUUUGUCCGCUGAUUUCCUUCAGCGGUGCCAAGUUUUAAUUAAUGCGCUUCAACAGUAUGAAAACUUGAGCAUCUAUAAUUACAUCUUUGGUAGCAAUAUUUAAAUCUCUCCUGACGAUAUAUUUAUUAGAUAACAGUUCCCGGAAUUAGGGUCAGUUAUGGGGCACCUCGAGAAAAUCCUGGAAUGGAAUGUGUCUUUUUAUUUCUGUUUUUUUGGUCUUGAAGGUUAACGAGAAAACACAACCUAGGAGAGGCCGAGAUAAGCCUACUACUGGUGGAGGGUAGGGGAUGGAUUGAGGGCUGCUGCGCUAACAUCCCCACUCUGGGGUGGCCCGUCGGGGUGCUCCUAGUGACUAAAUCUGGCAAAGGAAGAGUCUUAGAGAAAAUGCUUCUGUUUUUUACUUUCCCCCUCGAGCUCAUGUUUGUAGGUCAUCACACAUCUUGGCUUUUCACUCUUGUGUGGAAGGGCUGUUUUCAAGCCAUACUUCGCAAACGCUCGUCGGUGAGCGCGCGCCGAGGACCGCAGGUAAAAAGUCCCCUCGGCUCUUGGAUUCAGUUCUGAGCAACACAGGGAAUUUCUCUGUCACUUACCUUUGAUUUUGCUUUCUGUCACUGCUCCUCUUGCUACCCUUAAUAUUUGCUCAUUCUCUUUCCUGCGGCUUGUCUUAAUGGGAUUUAAAGCUGCUGUUAGGUUAAAGUUUGGGGUUUGAAACCAAUUUUCUUAGUCUUUAGUUACCUGGAGGGUGGACCCACUGGCUCCCCCUUGUGGGUGCUCCGUAUGGUCGUUCCCAAGGCUCCUGGCCCGCGAUGUAACUUCAUUUUUACCACGUGAACAGCCGCAUCCUUCAGAAUUCUCAUUCCCUCAUCACUCUCCUCGGUGUUCUGCCCGCUCUCGCAGGUUCUGUAGUGACGUCAUGCACGUGACACCCCCCACGCCAGGUCCUGUGUGAACAGGAAAAACACAGGCUAGGGCAACAUGCGGUGUUUUUCGCAGAGGAAACGCACAAAGAAGUCGUUGAGAACUAAUAUGCCAGAAAGAUUUACAGACAAACACGGUCUGUAAAUGCGUGGUGUGCAGCAGUUAAGCAGGUGGCCCUAAGAGAAGUAUUCUCCUAAAACUUUGUGUUCAAGCUCCACAUUUUAGGAGUUUGUAAGGGUUUGAUAAGAGGCCAAGUUUACUUUUGAACAGUGUAACGCAGGUGAGAUUGCAGAGUAAACACGUUAAAGCACAGAAAAUCCCUUGACUCUGAGGAAAUGGCUUUUGUCCACCACAAGUUUGUAUGGCAAGAACUGUUCGAGGUUGUGCUCAAUGAACGCCCGGCAGUGUUGGGCUCAGACAAGCACUUGUCAGGUGCUCUUCUAUUUUUAUACGAUGACUUUUAAAGCACUUAAUUCUGUUCUUAUUACAAGGCAGUUGGCAUAUAGAAAGGGCACCUGGAUACAGGUGUGAGCAAUCAGGGAUGGCCUCUGACUUCAGAAAGAAGAGGCGGGGGUCAAAAGUGUUUUGAGGGAGAGUUCCCCUUGGGGCUCAGCAGUAAUGAACCUGACUGGUAUCCAUGAGGACGUGGGCUCAAUCCCUGGCCUCACUCAUUGGGUUAAGGAUCUGGCGUUGCCAUGAGUUGGGGUGUAGGUUGCAGACGCAGCUUGGCUCCCUUGUUGCUGUGGCUGUGGCACAGGCUGGCAGCUGCAGCUCCGAUUCACCCCCUAGCCUGGGAACCUCCCUAUGCUGCAGUGCCACGCGCUGAUGGAGAGGCAGGAAGGGAUCAGAUUUUGUGACUGCGUCUGGUGUGCAGCUCCAUCUAAUUUAGCCGUGUAGCAACCAGGGAGCUCCGUUUUUGUUUUUUGUCAGUGGGACUAUUGCUUUGCCCUUGUGAGUCACAGAUAUUUUUCCAUAGAAAGGCAAAACCGUGCAUCUUGGAUUCUAGAGCCUGGAGUCUGGAUUAAAAAUGCCUUGGAUUCCAGUUCAGCUGAGCUAUCCAGGUGCGUGACUUUGGGCAAGUUCUGUAACCUUUCGGUGCAUCUGCAAACGGCAAUGAUCAUCAUCAUCCCUCUUGCAAAGGGGUGGUUGGGAAGGUGAAAACAGCGCGUGGCCGGUGCUGUUGCCUUGUACGCAUUAGCUGCUGUCCUGUCGUUUGUUGUAUUUGCAUAGCUUUUCCCAAAGCCGGUAGCGGAGUUAUCUUUAUGAUGCUUCUCUGAACUGUUUUCUCACGAGUUUACUGGCACCGGAUGUGUUUAUUUUCACAUAAUCCCUAUUAGAAGAAUGUUAUCACCUUCGUAUUUUUUAUAAAGGUUGUCAGUUUACUAUUAGAACAAUGAAUAAAGACAAGGUGUGACUUAGGCCGUGAACUCAAGCCUCUGUGUUAAGGGGAAGCAGCUUGAAGGAUUCUGCCAUAGCUGGGUGUGCAGGUCUGUUGUCACGGGCACGCGUGCUUCUCUUCUAGAUUCCUCUUCUUUCUGCCCUAUAAUUGCACCUCCAGGUGGCAUGUCACAGAGAACAGACUCUUCCUUCACAGCCAGGUGCCCCGCGGACACGCCCGGGACUGUGUCAGGCCUCCUGGGCUUGCCAGGGUCAGGGGUUGCAUCUGAGCUAGAGGUUUCUGUGGGUCCCCCCUCUUUUCAGGUCUGCUCUUCACAGGCUCACGCUACACAUGCCAUGUUUAUGUUCCCUUGUGGGAGUGUUUUCUUUUCAGAGGAGCAGAGUUUGUCCAAAGAGGGAAAGAGAUGAAACGAUAGGGUUUUUGUUCAGCCCUUGGAGAUGCCGAGCAGGUCUCUGCGGGGACCGAUGCGGGGACGUAUGAGGGAAGGUGUGGGGGGCAGGCUGACCUGUGGUCACCAGGAGGAAGGACACCGCGUGUUCCCCGUCUAAGGGUCCGACCCGAGGCUUAGCUCACCCAGUGCUUCUGCUCCCAAAUACUUUCGCUUUUUUAAUGUUUGAGAAUAAUUCGCCCCCUCCAAAAGCCUGCAGUCCUCAUGACUGCAAAAUAUUAACCAAAAUAUUAUUUUUCUGACUGUUACUCCUUAUAUAAGACCCUCCAGAUCUUUCUCUUCCAUAACAGGGAUCUAAGCUGCCCAUAUUUUUCUCUUAAACACAUGAUUCCUUUUAUUUUUAAUUUUUUUGUCCUUUCCCAGCCUCAGAGCUCUAGGACUUGUCAUUUAAAUGAGCAUUUCUGUUUUAAUGCUUCUCAUCUCUUCACCCCCUUUGCCUUAGCUUCUGACUUUGUAUUUGAAAUGCAAAUCUCUACAUAACAAGUCCAAGGCUGACCUACUUACACAGUUUGUUACUCGCCAUAUAGGCUUCUUGUUACAACUGAGGCAUUUGCAUAUUUGCUGCAUAUGGUUGCAGCCAGCCUGGAUGUUAACAUCUUUCUCCGGAAUGUGUCUGUCUUUCCACAGGGAUCACUGGUCACUGCGGGCUGGGCCUCCCCGCCAGGUGGUGAGACAGGCCCCGUCCCACCAACAGCACACACCCAGUCAGUGCCCUGUCACUGUGUGUGUGUGUGUGUUUGUGUGUGUGUCCACUGGGUCCUGCCGCAUCUGCGCUUUUGUCUAUUACUUGGCGGAUAUUGGCCAUUCUGGAGUUUCAGCAUUUCCACCCCGUCCCCACCCCUGGUACCAGCAUCCAUGUGGUUUUUCAGCAGAGCUUUUCAAACCAGGUGCCUUCUCUGUUUUCUGGGAUCUAACCUUCAGAUUUGGAAGAAAGUGAAAAGAGACUUUUUUCACAUCCUCUAAGGAAACAGUAUUGAAAAAAGACAUGACAGCUUCUGGGGCCGUCCUUUUCUCUUAUCGUCGGCCGAGACUGAUCCCGUAUCCUGACCCCCAUGGCCGGUGGUGGACUGUGAGGUGACCCCUGCACAGGGAGGGCGGGUCUGCAUGGUGGCAGUUGGCUGGCUGGGGAGAUCUGGGAGAAUGGUCUGGGGGGAGAUGAGAAGCCGGUGGGUGGGUAGGUGCUUGCACUGCUUGUUCAGCACGAAUAUGUGCUGUGUCUGCUUUCCGGGACUCGAAUCUGCCUGGGGCAGCCACCAACCACCUGACUGUGUGCUGAGGGUCACAUGUGCAUGACCUCAGGUGGGAGCUGAGGUCCUGAAGGUGAGCAGGACAUAGGGCACCAGUCAGCUCACUUUGUUCUGCAAAACAACCCCCCCUCGCCACACACACCCUUGUUAUCCAGAGUGAAGAGCCUGGAAGUAAUGAAUGGAACACAUUUUCUAAAUCCGUGUCUCUCACCCAACAGUGAAGUGGCUCAGGGAAGCCAGCGUCCUGGCCCAGCCGCAGGGUUCAUGGUCUUGGUCAUCAAAGGUGACUCAGGUCCAGAGCACGCAUCUGAUGGCUUCAGCACUUGCCACAUCUGGCCAGAGGGUGGCCUCAGUGUUGUGCCAGCCCCAGAAUGGGGGUGGGGGGUACUUCCUGAGUUGGCCAUGUGAUGGGCUCUCCAGGGUCCUGGGGCCUGCCCGGAAGGUGCCGCCACUGGGUCUGGGCCAGGACGAGCGUCAGGCUGGUGGGGACUCCGGGUAAGCCUUCUCUGUGCGUGUGGGGCUGCCAUCUCUGCGCAGCUCCCCUGCUCUGGGGGGUGACAUCCUGAGAGGAGGUGGCAGGUCACACGCCCUUGUAGGAUGCGAGACUCUGCUCUUAGAGAAGGUGUGUCACUCUCCAGGCAGACCAACAGAAAAGCACACAGGAAGUCUUUGGCUUUAUUAACUUUGGUCUUUUU